rnacentral:pre_miRNA from 1 species
CAUGGGUUUAUGGUGUAUUCCAUCUCUUGCACACUGGACCAGUAAAUUUCGGCCACUUCAGCACUGGUUGGUGUGCAAGUGAUGGAAUACAUCAUUGAUCUAUG